GAUUAACGCGAAGAACCUUACCUACCCUUGACAUGGUCGGAAUCCUGCUGAGAGGUGGGAGUGCUCGAAAAAGAACCGGCGCACAGGUGCUGCAUGGCUCUCGUCAGCUCGUGUCGUGAGAUGUUGGGUUAAGUCCCGCAACGAGCGCAACCCUUGUCCUUAGUUGCUACGCAAGAGCACUCUAAGGAGACUGCCGGUGACAAACCGGAGGAAGGUGGGGAUGACGUCAAGUCCUCAUGGCCCUUAUGGGUAGGGCUUCACACGUCAUACAAUGGUCGGAACAGAGGGUUGCCAACCCGCGAGGGGGAGCUAAUCCCAGAAAACCGAUCGUAGUCCGGAUUGCACUCUGCAACUCGAGUGCAUGAAGCUGGAAUCGCUAGUAAUCGCGGAUCAGCAUGCCGCGGUGAAUACGUUCCCGGGCCUUGUACACACCGAAUCACUAGU
rnacentral:rRNA from 1 species